UGGGGAAUAUUGCGCAAUGGGCGAAAGCCUGACGCAGCGACGCCGCGUGAGGGAUGAAGGUUUUCGGAUCGUAAACCUCUGUCAGAAGGGAAGAAACCGCACUGUGCUAAUCAGCAGUGCCUUGACGGUACCUUCAAAGGAAGCACCGGCUAACUCCGUGCCAGCAGCCGCGGUAAUACGGAGGGUGCAAGCGUUAAUCGGAAUUACUGGGCGUAAAGCGCACGUAGGCUGCUUUGUAAGUCAGGGGUGAAAUCCCACGGCUCAACCGUGGCACUGCCUUUGAUACUGCUUAGCUUGAAUCCGGGAGAGGGUGGCGGAAUUCCAGGUGUAGGAGUGAAAUCCGUAGAUAUCUGGAGGAACAUCAGUGGCGAAGGCGGCCACCUGGACCGGUAUUGACGCUGAGGUGCGAAAGCGUGGGGAGCAAACAGG
rnacentral:rRNA from 1 species